UGAAGUCAAGCCAUCAUCAUUAUUAUUGGUUGUAGCAGUAGUAGUUUUGUGUUAUACCUUAGUUACUGGACUGUUCUUAUCUCAACCAGUGGGAACUAUUUGCUUUUGAUUCUCCUCCCCAUCCCUCUGGGAGCAGGGGGAGGAAGAAGUGGGGAGAGUGAGUGAGCAGCUACAUGGUUUUGAGACUGUUUUGGCUGGACUUAAACCACGACACCAUGAUAUGGCUCAGAGUAUUUUCUGAAAAAGUCCUGCAGUGCAGAGGAGUCAAACAUUUGAUCACAUGCAGCAGCACAAGAUAGAUGGAGUACAGCUGACUCAACAGCUACAGGGGAUUUGGAAUGGAAACAAUCACUUGCUUGAAGGAAACAAUGUUAUCCAACUUGUGGUGUCAGUCAGCCUAUUCCCACAGUCACUGCAUUGAUGGAGGAAAAUUUUGUUUAUAAAGAAGGGGGAGAUGUGUGGAAUCCUGCACAAGAAGCUGCACCAGUAGACUUGGACGAGAGCCCAGACAUCUGGACUCUUAUCAGCCACAAACCCUGGGAGAAGUGAGCGGGACAAGUCGGGAAGAACAGGAAAAAGAACAUCAGGUGGAACCGAAGAAAGAGCAUAAAGGUAAUUUCUGAGGACUGUACAUUUGGAAACAGCAGGAUGCUUAGGCAAGAUAAAGAAUGUGUAGUCAAGGGGAAGUGGAAAUGACAAUGCGGCGAGUAGUGAUAGCAGAGAACUAUGUUUAGAAAUAAUUACUCAAGCAAAGGCGUGUUAACAGUAAUGUGAUUGGCUGGAAGAGUGCGUGAUCAGUAAGACUUUUUUGUGAUCAAAAAGUAGCAAAAGAAUUAACUGCUGCUAAGCACUAGGCAGAAUACUAUAAAAACCUGUAAGCUCACUCAAUAAAGGAUUUUGUUUGUAGCCA
rnacentral:lncRNA from 14 species